rnacentral:rRNA from 19 species
NNNNCUGAGAAUUUGAUCUUAGUUCAGAUUGAACGCUGGCGGCGUGGAUGAGGCAUGCAAGUCGAACGGAAUAAUGACUUCGGUUGUUAUUUAGUGGCGGAAGGGUUAGUAGUACAUAGAUAAUCUGCCCUCAACUUGGGGAUAACGGUUGGAAACGAUCGCUAAUACCGAAUGUAGUGUAAUUAGGCAUCUAAUAUAUAUUAAAGAAGGGGAUCUUCGGACCUUUCGGUUGAGGAAGAGUUUAUGCGAUAUCAGCUUGUUGGUGGGGUAAAAGCCCACCAAGGCGAUGACGUCUAGGCGGAUUGAGAGAUUGACCGCCAACACUGGGACUGAGACACUGCCCAGACUCCUACGGGAGGCUGCAGUCGAGAAUCUUUCGCAAUGGACGAAAGUCUGACGAAGCGACGCCGCGUGUGUGAUGAAGGCCUUAGGGUUGUAAAGCACUUUCGCCUGGGAAUAAGAGAGAUUGGCUAAUAUCCAAUCGAUUUGAGCGUACCGGGUAAAGAAGCACCGGCUAACUCCGUGCCAGCAGCUGCGGUAAUACGGAGGGUGCUAGCGUUAAUCGGAUUUAUUGGGCGUAAAGGGCGUGUAGGCGGAAAGGAAAGUUAGAUGUUAAAUUUUGGGGCUCAACCCCAAGUCAGCAUUUAAAACUAUCUUUCUAGAGGAUAGAUGGGGAAAAGGGAAUUCCACGUGUAGCGGUGAAAUGCGUAGAUAUGUGGAAGAACACCAGUGGCGAAGGCGCUUUUCUAAUUUAUACCUGACGCUAAGGCGCGAAAGCAAGGGGAGCAAACAGGAUUAGAUACCCUGGUAGUCCUUGCCGUAAACGAUGCAUACUUGAUGUGGAUGGUCUCAACCCCAUCCGUGUCGGAGCUAACGUGUUAAGUAUGCCGCCUGAGGAGUACACUCGCAAGGGUGAAACUCAAAAGAAUUGACGGGGGCCCGCACAAGCAGUGGAGCAUGUGGUUUAAUUCGAUGCAACGCGAAGGACCUUACCUGGACUUGACAUGUAUUUGACAACUGUAGAAAUACAGCUUUCCGCAAGGACAGAUACACAGGUGCUGCAUGGCUGUCGUCAGCUCGUGCCGUGAGGUGUUGGGUUAAGUCCCGCAACGAGCGCAACCCUUAUCGUUAGUUGCCAGCACUUAGGGUGGGAACUCUAACGAGACUGCCUGGGUUAACCAGGAGGAAGGCGAGGAUGACGUCAAGUCAGCAUGGCCCUUAUGUCCAGGGCGACACACGUGCUACAAUGGUUAGUACAGAAGGUAGCAAGAUCGUGAGAUGGAGCAAAUCCUAAAAGCUAGCCCCAGUUCGGAUUGUAGUCUGCAACUCGACUACAUGAAGUCGGAAUUGCUAGUAAUGGCGUGUCAGCCAUAACGCCGUGAAUACGUUCUCGGGCCUUGUACACACCGCCCGUCACAUCAUGGGAGUUGGUUUUACCUUAAGUCGUUGACUCAACCUAUUUAUAGGAGAGAGGCGCCCAAGGUGAGGCUGAUGACUGGGAUGAAGUCGUAACAAGGUAGCCCUACCGGAAGGUGGGGCUGGAUCACCUCCUUUU